rnacentral:rRNA from 1 species
AUUGAACGCUGGCGGCAGGCCUAACACAUGCAAGUCGGGCGAGAGGCGGACGGGAGAGUUAUGUAUGGGGAUCUGACUGAUGGAGGGGGAUAACUACUGGAAACGGUAGCUAAUACCGUACACCAUAAGAUGAACCCAUAUGGGAUUAGCUUGUAGGUGAGGUAACGGCUCACCUAGGCGACGAUCCCUAGCUGGUCUGAGAGGAUGAUCAGCAACACUGGGACUGAGACACGGCCCAGACUCCUACGGGAGGCAGCAGUGGGGAAUAUUGGACAAUGGGCGCAAGCCUGAUGCAGCCAUGCCGCGUGUGUGAAGAAGGCCUUCGGGUUGUAAAGUACUUUCAGUCGGGAGGCGUUACCGACAGAAUAAGCACCGGCUAACUCCGUGCCAGCAGCCGCGGUAAUAC